rnacentral:rRNA from 1 species
UCGGACGGGAUUGUGGAGCUUGCUUCACAUGAGAGUGGCGCACGGGUGCGUAACACGUAUGUAACCUACCCUUGUCAGGGGGAUAGCCUCUCGAAAGAGAGAUUAAGACCGCAUAAAAUUAAGAUGUGGCAUCACAAUUUAAUCAAAUAUUUAUAGGACAAGGAUGGGCAUGCGGAACAUUAGCUAGUUGGUAAGGUAAUGGCUUACCAAGGCUACGAUGUUUAGGGGAUCUGAGAGGAUGACCCCCCACACUGGUACUGAGACACGGACCAGACUCCUACGGGAGGCAGCAGUAAGGAAUAUUGGUCAAUGGGCGGAAGCCUGAACCAGCCAUGCCGCGUGCAGGAAGACGGCCCUAUGGGUUGUAAACUGCUUUUACAGGGGAAUAAACCUUCGUAUGUAUACGAAGCUGAAUGUACUCUGAGAAUAAGGAUCGGCUAACUCCGUGCCAGCAGCCGCGGUAAUACGGAGGAUCCGAGCGAUAUCCGGAUUUAUUGGGUUUAAAGGGUGCGUAGGUGGCCUGUUAAGUCAGGGGUGAAAGACGGUAGCUCAACUAUCGCAGUGCCCUUGAUACUGAUGGGCUUGAAUGAACUAGAGGUAGGCGGAAUGUGACAAGUAGCGGUGAAAUGCAUAGAUAUGUCACAGAACACCAAUUGCGAAGGCAGCUUACUAUGGUUUUAUUGACACUGAGGCACGAAAGCGUGGGGAUCAAACAGGAUUAGAUACCCUGGUAGUCCACGCCCUAAACGAUGAAUACUCGAUGUUGGCGAUAUACGGUCAGCGUCUAAGCGA